UACGUAGGGGGCAAGCGUUGUCCGGAAUCAUUGGGCGUAAAGAGCGUGUAGGCGGUCCGGUAAGUCGGCUGUGAAAGUCCAGGGCUCAACCCUGGGAUGCCGGUCGAUACUGCCGGACUAGAGUUCGGAAGAGGCGAGUGGAAUUCCCGGUGUAGCGGUGAAAUGCGCAGAUAUCGGGAGGAACACCUAUGGCGAAGGCAGCUCGCUGGGACGUGACUGACGCUGAGACGCGAAAGCGUGGGGAGCGAUCCGG
rnacentral:rRNA from 1 species